rnacentral:lncRNA from 1 species
UAGCAUUCAAUUUAUGCAUGAUAAUUAAGCGUGCACUCUCAACCAACACACACAAAUCAAUGUAAUUCACAUAGAUAAGUAAAUUGAAUUCACAACUUAUGAAACGCAAUUAGAAGUAAUCAAAUCAUAUCGCAAGCAUAAACAUGUAUUUCGAAUCCCCCCCUAGCCAAGGGGGAGUUUAGUUCCUCAUACACACAAAACAAAGAGAAUUGAAUUUAAACAUUGAAAUCAAAGGAAAAGAAACACCUAGAAAUUCCAGCGACGCGAAAUUGAAUUGCAUGAACUUCCAAUCUUCCUUCUCCUCCUCCUUGGUGCGGCAAAGGGUCUAGGGACAGGUUUAGGGCCUUAGGUGUAUGGAUGAAUGGUUAUGGAAGGAUGUAGUAGUGUUUGUAGGGAUUAGGGAUAGGGCUUCUAGAAAGCCCCAAAACUGAUAGGAAAUGUAGGAAACUCACGGCAAGGAGGGGAACAGUCUAGAAACUUCUCAUUUGUGUCCUACAACAAUUAGGAGUCCUUCUAGCAUUAGGAAAACAUGUCUCAAUCCUCCCUUGACUUGGAAUUCUUCUCCCUCUUCAUCUUGGAAACCUUUCCUUCUUGGACUUGGAAAACUUCUUUGUUGCUGAAACUUGAUGCCAUUUGGAUUUAACUUUCCUACUUCGACUAGGAAACCGUGUUCAAGUAGGAAACAUCAUCUUCAAAUCUUCAAUUUCAUCCAUCCUCUUAGCUCCAAGCAUAUGAUGUCCAUUCCAAGCUCUAAUUUGCUCCAAAAGGCUCCAAAAUGCUUCCCUUUGCAUACUUUGCCCUUAAAACUUGAAAACGCAUAAAACUAGCUUAAAAUACUACUUUACUAAGGAAAAACACUAUAAAUGCACAAGAACAAGCUAAACUAAGGUGCAUAAAUAUGCUUCUAUCAAUAAUUUUCAUCCAUUUUUUUCCCCCAAAUCUAAGCAUAUAAAAAAAAAAAAUCGAAGGGAGAUGUGGAUAAAAAUUACCCAUGAAUGUGUCGGAAUCAGAGAGGGAUGUGAUCUGCGGUGUCAUCUUUGUAACUGUUGAUAUUACUGUUUGAGGGUGCUCGAUUUAUGAGGUUCGAAGGCAGCUAGAUGAUGAAUGAGGAUAUCGUAGAAGAGUGGAAGAUGCGCUUGGAUGGUCCUGGUUCAGAGAUUAAGUUUGGGGGUAUAGUGCGGCUCUGGGGUAUGCGUUUGGUUUUUGAGAUAGACAUGAUGAGAGGCUGCGAGGAUUGAGAAAAAUGAGAGAGAAGGAGAGCUAAUUUUUCAUUUUAAAGAGAUAUGGGGUCUGAGUGAAACAGAGAGGGAUGGCUAAAUUUCUAAAGAGAUAGAAAGCUCUUGCGUUUCUGAGAGCAAUGAAGAAACGAGAGAGGGCUGAAAAAUACAAAAAAAAAUGGAAGGUUUGUACGAAGAGGGGUGCCAAACUGAGAAGGAUUAAAAGUAUUUUCAGAAUUUCUAGAGAGAGCUAGAUGGGCACAUGGGUUGAUCUUAACCCUUGAUUUGGAAUCCUAUGGAGCUAUCCUUCCUAAUGCAUGACACGUGGGUGCAUCCUCAGCUUUUAUGCUCCCUAGGACACGGUUUGAAGAGAGGAGAGAGAGCCGUUUGGGCUCUGUGUUUGAUGACUGACGGAGAUAGAAGACUGAUGCCUGACGCCAUUUUCAAUUUGCAUGCCAGCUGCAUGCCUUUCAAAGCAAAGGAAUCCAUAGUUUAGCAUGCCAGCUGCAUGCUUUUCAAACAAAGGAAUCCAAUGUUCCUAUUGGACUUUUGUUUGCGAGUUGACCUUCCAAAUCAAAAGCCAGGU